AUCUGGUAGUCUAGAUAAGGUCAGAGGCAGAAAGACGCUGUCAAGGACUCUUGCUGCCUUUGCUAGCUCGUGGGUGCCAUGAACUGUUCUCUGCACUACCCGCUGCCAUGUGCUGCUCUGUCUUAGAACCAUCCAACCAGGAACAGUGAGGCCCCCCAGGACCUGCAAUGCAGCACAUCUGCACCCCCAUCCCAUCUGCCUUCAUCCUGACCUCCCCUCAACAAGAAAGAAGCCCUGUUUACAGGAGGAGGAGGAACACAGCAUUUCCUGGGACGUGGCGAGGGCGGAAAGUCUGAGGGCACUUCUGAGCAGCUAGCUUUUAUCUGUUCAGAUGCCUCCUACAGACAUGUGGAGCAGGAAGAUGGUCAGACACUGGGGUCCAACCAGCCCAUAGGCAAGACACAAAUGGGGAGCUGACAUCCUGUGAAGACUUUUCCAAUAGCCAUCCUGUGCAGGGUGGGGUGCCCCAGGAGGGGCCCGUGGGCCCACACAGGCCUCAGAGGCAAGACAAGGGACUGCCACCAUGGACAGAUGCUGAUUUGGGAUGUUCAGGACAAAACAAAAAGCCUGGGGCUGGGGGUUUAGCUCAGCGACAUAAGCACCUGCCUUGAAAGCAGACAGUCGUGAGUUCGAUCCCUGGUACCGAUAAAAAGGAAAAAGACCAAAAACAAAAACAAAAAGCCUGUGCUUGUCAUUCCUUAUCUUGGUGUCCCCUCCUCGGCCACACCAGCAUCUGGAGAGGCUAAGAGACUCAAAGAGGGAGGAGGAUGAAUGUGUAGGCAUGAUGCCCAGCAGCCACGAUGUCUCACCCCCAGGCUGGGCACAGAAUACCAUCUGGGAAGAAGUGAGGAUGGGCAGAUUUAGAGAAGGAGGAGGGCUCUGGGAAGAAGAUGCAGCCUGUGCAGGCUUCGUGGCCCCCUCCAGGGACCCCAAUUUGAAGCGCCAACCUCUUAGGAGGAGAAGAAAUGUUGUUGAUCCCCCUGGUGUUCAGGGGACACUUAACGAUGCUUGGUGAGAUUGUACAACCUCUUCUCCAUUGCAGACGGGACCUCUAGGAACCCUAGCAGACUUGGAGAAGGCUCAGGUUCUUCAGCAUAACGCCUGAGGAUUGGCAAAACUUGUACCCUUGGCUGCUUAUCGACACAGGGAAACCCAGUGAAGAGCUUCUUCAUUCCUGUAACAUGAGGAAAUUUCCUGCCCAGCACAUGAACUGACUUCCCCAGCUACUCUGUGCCCUCACAGCCUGUGUGGCAGGGCUACCAGGGGGGCAGCCAGCAAGGCAGAAGAGCCAAGCAGGCGACAGCUAUGAGACUGCUGCCAGAUGCUGGAGGAUCUGAGAUUCUUGUGGGAAGGAACGCCCUGAAAGCAAUGGGAAAGUUCCUUCUGGUCAUUGAGGAGCCAGACCAACUCUAAAAUUCACACAGCUGGGCAAAAAGCUCAAAGGAAGAAAAGAUGUGCAAGGAGAAAGAUUCCUCUCCCUUUCCCCAUCCAAGAUGGCUUUGAUACUGAAGAGCUGGAAGACUACUGUCUUUGCUAUAAUCCCAAGACACACCCUGAGCGAUGUCUCCUUCUAACAGGAGGCUGAUGCUGGCUUGAUGCUGUCUUCCCCUGACCCAUCCUGGAGGUGCUGUCAGGGCAGCAUCUCCAUCCAGAGAUAGGUUCAGAGUGUCUUAUCUGAAACCACCCAGGACACAUGUAUAAGAUGCAAAUGUCACAGUGAGCAUCUUACUGGAGUGGACUGCAGGCUCCCCCAGGCCCAGACCCUUGGCUAUUUUGUGGCAGGAGAAAUGAAGGCUAUUCGUGAUCUCACAACAGUUCAAGUCACCUUGUUCUAUCAAAUUUAUUCACGCCAAGUUAAGUGGAAAACCAAGUUUUCAGAACUUUCUAUAUUUUGGGAAUUUGGGAUAAAGGAUUGUGAACCUGUAUAUAUUUUCACAAUUAAUAAAUGUUUGUGGGGCAGAUACCAAAUACUAAAA